GGAUCCAGACUUUGAUCAUGGCUCAGGACGAACGCUGGCGGCGUGCUUAACACAUGCAAGUCGAACGAGAAGAGAUGAGAAGCUUGCUUCUUAUUGAUUCGAGUGGCAAACGGGUGAGUAACGCGUAAGCAACCUGCCCUCUAGAUGGGGACAACAGCUGGAAACGGCUGCUAAUACCGAAUACGUUCUUUCUGUCGCAUGGCAGAGGGAAGAAAGGGAGGCUCUUCGGAGCUUUCGCUGGAGGAGGGGCUUGCGUCUGAUUAGCUAGUUGGAGGGGUAACGGCCCACCAAGGCGACGAUCAGUAGCCGGUCUGAGAGGAUGAACGGCCACAUUGGGACUGAGACACGGCCCAGACUCCUACGGGAGGCAGCAGUGGGGAAUCUUCCGCAAUGGACGAAAGUCUGACGGAGCAACGCCGCGUGAACGAUGACGGCCUUCGGGUUGUAAAGUUCUGUUAUACGGGACGAAUGGUACGACGGCCAAUACCCGUCGUAAGUGACGGUACCGUAAGAGAAAGCCACGGCUAACUACGUGCCAGCAGCCGCGGUAAUACGUAGGUGGCAAGCGUUGUCCGGAAUUAUUGGGCGUAAAGGGCGCGCAGGCGGCGUCGUAAGUCGGUCUUAAAAGUGCGGGGCUUAACCCCGUGAGGGGACCGAAACUGCGAUGCUAGAGUAUCGGAGAGGAAAGCGGAAUUCCUAGUGUAGCGGUGAAAUGCGUAGAUAUUAGGAGGAACACCAGUGGCGAAAGCGGCUUUCUGGACGACAACUGACGCUGAGGCGCGAAAGCCAGGGGAGCAAACGGGGUUAGAUACCCCGGUAGUCCUGGCCGUAAACGAUGGAUACUAGGUGUAGGAGGUAUCGACCCCUUCUGUGCCGGAGUUAACGCAAUAAGUAUCCCGCCUGGGGAGUACGGCCGCAAGGCUGCAACUCAAAGGAAUUGACGG
rnacentral:rRNA from 1 species